AGAAAACAAGAAGGAAGGCUGGUGCAGAGGGUGGGUCCGGGGCACCGCAGCGGGAUUGGCCUCUGGUCGGAGGGAACUUGCGGUAGGGAAGGCAGGGGAGGCGAAGAUGUGAGUGGGUUUGUACAUGCACUGCUGUGAGAUGAGAGGGUUUCUAUGAGUCAGGGUUCUGCAGAGAAACAGAGCCAGUAGGAUACACGUACAUAGGAAGAGAUUCGUAAGGAGACACUUCGUGCAAUUCUGGAGGCUGAGAAGUCCCACGAUCUGCUGUCCGCAAGCCGGACACCCAGGAAUGCUGGCAGUGCAAGUUGCAAGACCUGAGGGCCGGGAUCCAAUGGAGUGGACGCCAGUCAGAGUCUGAAUCCCUGAGAACCAGGAGUACCAACGGCCAGAGGAAACGGAUGUCUGCCUUGGGUCAGGCGGAGAGAAUCCAAACGCCCUCCACCUUUUUGUCCUAUUCCGGCUUCCACAGAUUGGACGAGGCCCACCCACCUUGGGGAGGGGCCAGCUGCUGUGUUCAGUCCGCCAAGGCAAACGCUAAGCUCUUCCAGAAACGCCCUCACAGACACCCCGGAAGUCACGUACCCACUCUCUAGGUGCCCUGGGGCACAGGCAAGCUGACGAGCCAGUUAUCCCUCAGAGCUCCUGCUGCCUCGCCUGCUUUCUCUCGGAAACGUGAAGUGCGGCCUCAGCUGAAAGUGAGGUGGGCUCAUUCAAUCAGUUGAAUUCUUCAAGAGAGAAAAACUGAAGUCCCUUAGAAGGAAAGAGUUCUGCCUUCAGACUGUCUUUGAACUUAAGACUGUAGCGUCGACUCCUGCCGGAAUUUCCAGCCUGCUGGCCAGCUCUGCAGAUUCACACUUGCCAGCCUCCACAAUCGCAGCUGAGGCGGGGGAACCCUAAGGGCUCAUUGAGAUCAUGGAUUUGCCCUUCUAUGCAUUGAUGGAGCACCUGCUGCCCACAGCGUCUGUAUUUGGUGCUGGGAUGCUGAGCCUCCUUCUUUAUGAAUUUUUAAAAGGACACUGAGAUCUUCAAACAGAGGCUGCCACUCUAAGCAAACAGAUCCCGAGCCCUGGACUCUGAAGCUUGGGCCCAGUUCUCCUUUUCUCCGGGUUUCAGAUCCCACUGUGAAGUGAGGGGGCCCUUCUGAUUCAGGACCUGGGGAAGCCAGGGGCAUGAGCAUCGGUGCCUCUUCUCUAUUUCAAGGACCCUUCUGGGUGUAAAGUUCUCUGAGAUGCCUUACAUGGAUUCCAACCACUGCAAGAUAACCAUCGUAUGUAAAGUGUUAUGACCAGCAGAGCGUAAUUGAAGUGCAUUCCAGAGGGAAAGACAGCGGCUCAGGUAGGCCUUAGAGAAUCCGUCUUGGGAUGAAUCCCAUUCUCACACUCCUGUAACAUCCUUAUCGGAAGGCUGGAAGACCAAGCUGGGGCUGUGGGACUAGGAGUAAUUAAAAUACCUUUCAUUGGAAGAUUCUAUAAUGCCUUCUGUGCAAUGGAGCAUGAUUACCAUCCGUUCCUUGGCCCUCCUGUUGGGAGCCAUUGGAAAGGCAAGAAUUCUUCUCUGUUGGGAGAGUGUUCAAAAUGCAGCUUGACUGUGGCUGUGUCCACACACGUAAGGUCCAAGGCGAUUUCCCUGAAGGUGAGGGCAGGAGAACAACCCUAGGAAUUUUUCGGGCAGGAUGAGGGAGAGAUGGAAUGAAAGAGUGGAUGGCGGGGCCAAGGCUGAGGAGCAUAGACUAAUAGUGGUGGGACCAAACAUGUUGGAAGAGUGUAGGACUUGUCUGUCUAUUGCUGCGGCGAGAAAUUUUCAGAAAAUUAGUGACUUUAAAUUAUAUAGAUUUACAUGCAAAAUGGGUGGUCAGGGCUGCAUUCCUUCUGGAGGCUCUGGAAGAGGACCCAUUUCAUUGCCUUUUCCAACUUCUAGAGGUCGCCUGUGUUCCCUGGCUCGUGGUCCCUUCAUCCUCAAAGCCAGCAGCAUGCCAUCCUCCAAUCUCUCUCAGACUGACUUCUGCUUCCAAGGACACAUCUCUUCCUCUGAUCCUCCUCCCUCCCUUGUGUAAGAACCCUGACUAGCCUGGACCUCCCCCACCCCUGGAUACCCUGAGAUCAGCUCCCCAUCUCCAGUUCCUUAAUUGCACGUGCAAAGUUCCUUUUGCCAUGUAAGGUGACAUGUUCGCAGGUUCCAGGAAUUGGGACACAGACUGGGACAUGGACUGAGACGUAGACUGGGAUGUGGACUAGGAUAAGGACUGGGAUGUGGACAUCUUUGCAGGGCUGUUCUUCUGCCCACCACAAUGACCAAGGAGAAGCCAGUAAUUAGGAUGUCACAGAGUCUGUGUUUAAAGGGAGACCCUGGAUAGGGGCAGAAAGGAGCUGAAUCACCAGAGCUUGCUUUCUUUUUAAAAUAUUGUGGUAAGAUACUGUU